UGAGUAACCUGCCCUUAACUCUGGGAUAAGCCUGGGAAACUGGGUCUAAUACCGGAUAUGACUCCUCAUCGCAUGGUGGGGGGUGGAAAGCUUUAUUGUGGUUUUGGAUGGAUUCGCGGCCUAUCAGCUUGUUGGUGAGGUAAUGGCUCACCAAGGUGACGACGGGUAGCCGGCCUGAGAGGGUGACCGGCCACACUGGGACUGAGACACGGCCCAGACUCCUACGGGAGCAG
rnacentral:rRNA from 1 species